AUGAUGAUAACCCUGUUUAUUUACGGUUAGAAAAGCCUGAUGCAUUGUGAUGCUAAACUAGGGCGGACUGAGAUG